GAGAGAAGACAUGUAAAGAAUCUGAUAUGUGUUUGUCCUUCCAAGAUGCCUUUCAAGGUCAAACUAUGCAGUUUAUAGUCAAAACACCGAGUAACCAAAUGUUAAAUAGAAAUCAAAAUUUGGCAUUUGUAGAUAUACUAAUAUAUGCUAUCAUAAAGACAUGCAAUUACACAAGACAUAAGCAAACAGCAAGAACCUGCAUGCAUAGCACAGCCCAGAGGGCAUUUUUUAGCCAUUUAAUAAUAGAAGUCCAUAAUAGUUUCAGAAGUAGUAGUGUUUCAAUGCCAAAGGAAACUUAAAACAGGGUCCUAAAAACAAAAUAGUUUCUAAGUUUCAGAUUUCCUUUCCACCAAAAAGUCUCAAGAGCUUUGUCAGUUGUCACCCUUCUCAAAACCUACUUCAGAUGGUCAAUUGCAUACAUUAUCCCAUUUGACUUAUCCAAUAAAACUAAGGAUCAAACAAGAAACAUGUCACCCCCAUCUUUUCUAACUGAUGCAAGGCCAAGAG
rnacentral:misc_RNA from 1 species